CCAGAGGGAUCUGCUUCUUCUUCGGGGGAGUUCGGUCGGGGCUCCAGGCCAUCAAUUUCACCUUGUUCAGGUUCGGCCUCCUCUGGGAUACACUCCACUAUGAAAUCUGCCAAUAUCUGGGCCUUCACUGCUGGCCUGGGUCGAUAGUUGAUGUCGAAUUCUGUGAGCUCGAUCGCCCAUUUUGCCAUCCUCUCAGAGGCAUCCGCCCGAUGCAGAAUCGCCUUGAUCGGU
rnacentral:lncRNA from 1 species